GAUGAAGAACGUAGUGAAAUGCGAUAAGUAGUGUGAAUUGCAGAAUUCAGUGAAUCAUCGAAUCUUUGAACGCACAUUGCGCCCCUUGGUAUGCCAUGGGGCAUGCCUGUUCGAGCGUCAUUUGUACCUUCAAGCUCUGCUUGGUGUUGGGUGUUUGUCUCGCCUCUGCGCGUAGACUCGCCUCAAAACAAUUGGCAGCCGGCGUAUUGAUUUCGGAGCGCAGUACAUCUCGCGCUUUGCACUCAUAACGACGACGUCCAAAAGUACAUUUUUACACUCUUGACCUCGGAUCAGGUAGGGAUACCCGCUGAACUUAAGCAUAUCAAUAAGCGGAGGA
rnacentral:misc_RNA from 1 species